GACAUACAAAGUCUACGGAGGUUAAACGCUGUCAAUCAGUAAUAAACAUCUCGCAUUUUACUUUUCUCUGAAUUAUUAAUUGAUCCUUGAAAGUAAACACGAGACAUGGAUGGGGCUGCAUCUACAGAAAGCCCACAAACAAAAGAACUCCAAGUUUUGGAUUAUGAGCUUCAGCAUUUGCAAGAUAACAGAAAGCUGUACCUAAAUCAGCCAAACAGUAAUCUGUAUUUCCUCUGCAGUAAGGCUGAAGCUCUCAGCCAUUUGGAAAAACAAAAGGAGAAGCUUUCAGAAAUGAAAAAGAAAACUUAGAAAAAAAAAUUGUUUCUUAGAAUAGGAUACACUCAUUUGUAAAUCUUGUGAUGUCCAUGUUAUUCAAGAAACAUUUUUUAUUCUUAAAGUGUAUUUUUAUUUUUAUUUUGUCUGUGUUAAGGUGAGAACAAUUUUUAAGUUUGUGUACAAGUAAAUUUGUGUGUUGGAAUCAUGGUUUAGAACUCAUUUGAAAUUGUGUAAUUAUUUCACAUGUAUUGGUGCCGACUGUUUUACAAAACUAGAUGUAUGCUGAGAAUAAACGUAAUGAGUUA
rnacentral:lncRNA from 1 species